rnacentral:lncRNA from 1 species
CGAAGGGCCUCGUAGAGGUCGUCAUAUCCAAAGCGCUCGCACAAGAGGGCAAUGGCGUCGGCGUUGGGCGAGUGCAUCAACGCCGCGGCCAUGGCCCGUGGCGAGCAGGCGGCGCCCCGGUCGAUCAUGUCACCCAGACAGGUCAGUCCGCUCUUGAUGGCAAUGCCCAGACUUUCCCCAUCCGACAGAGACACGAUCCCAGUGUCGUGCAUCCAGAGGACGAUGGCAUGACGGUUCCGCAUCAACAUGGUGCGUGCCAUCACGGCAGUAAAGUGGCGUCGGGUUUCGGGCCGCGCGGCCAGCCAAUCGACCACGGCCGUCGAGCCAAAGUCGUCGCAUUCGGCGACGGACCACGCCACCAUCGGGACGUCCCACGGGAGACGCACUGUGGGCGCAAAGCACGUUUCUACGCCUGGUACGGUCUCGCCCGCGGCCCAGCGCAAGACAUCAAGUUGACCCGCCUUUGCCGCGGCGCCCAUCACAUCAGCGGUCAACCGGACAAAGCCGCGUGCGUGCGCAAUGGCCAGGGUUCGCACGUGACCACCUCGUGCGGCCUCGAUGAGCGCGCCCUUGCACCUGAUGCUCACGGUCGGUAACAUGUCGGCAAUGUCUUGGCCCUCGUCGCGUGCAUCGUCGACAAGCGUGCGCGUGAUCGCGUCGACCAAACGAUCGUUCCCGGCGCCUAUGGCGUGCGCCAGUUGUUCGGUGGUGCACGCAAAGGCCCGACAUCUGACAGCGCGCAUCCAAUCGAGCACGUGGCGUUGGUCGCCCGCGGCGGCAGCGUCGGCAAUGUCGGAAGGACAGCAGCAUGCGGCGCUGUCGCCGUCGUCGCCGUGUCGAUCGACGAGACCUUGAGGCCAGCGGUCGUGCGCGUACAUAACUGUGGAGAGCGUGCCUCGCCUUGCGGCCUCGACCACGACACGCACGUCGAGGGCGCAUGGCAUCUUGGCCAGGUGACACGCCGUCGUCAAGUAGCGCAGUACGUCGGUGUGGCCCGCACAGGCUGCCUCGUAGAUGGCCUGCAUCAGAUAGGGCAUCAACGUAAUGUCGCCCGUCAAGUGCAGUGUGCCAGAAACACUGUCGGGUGGUCCCCGCGGCGGUCCACUUCGAUGGCGUGCGGAUGACACGCCAAACAAUCCACGGUGGUGUGACGGUACGGCACAGGAGACACCCAAAGUGACCGCCGGGUCUCGGUCAGCGGCAAUGGUGGCGUCUUGUCCCCCGGUGCCCAACAGAUCGUCCGCGUCGUGGUCACUGGUAGGGCCGAACGGACCCCUGGAUCCCAACGGACCCGUCGUGCCAAACUCCUCGGCCGAUCCGAGCACAACCCGUGAUCGACGCGCCCCCACCCGCGAGCGACAGGCUCGCGCGCGGAGUUGGGGUCCUUCAGAUUGAGGCACGUCCGGCGCGGGCGCGUACUCGGGGUUGAACGCAGGUCCGCCUGCGGUCAACCCGGUCCAUAGGCCAAAAACCGUCAAGGGCCUGAUGAGGUCACACACCCAACGGACGACGUCGACACGGCCGCCGCGGGCAGCAGCCGGCAGAUGCCGGUAGUCGACCUCCAUGUUCCACUGCCCAAAGAGCGCGCGGACGACAUAGAUGGGCAGGCCGGCAGCAAGGGCCGCCUCUGAUUGACCGCGAUAGUAAGAGGCGGCCGUUUCCAGCGGAGACCUGCAGGCCAGUGCUGGUGAGGCGCACGCGCACGCGACCACAUCGCGUGGGUGGUCCAACAGGGCGACGAUAAAGCACAGGAUUUCGCUCGGCAGGUCCAACAGCGACAGGUUGUCGUCCAUGGGUCGAUGUGUGGGCGAGGUCAGACAGACAAAGGCCAAAAAAUUUGUUUUUCUGCUGGCGCGAACAAUGCCUUGUGUGUAUUGGUGUGGUCGGUGCUGGGCAGGGCGACGGGCGAAAGAAAACUGUCUGGCAUUGUGA